AACGCACAUUGCGCCCGCCAGUAUUCUGGCGGGCAUGCCUGUUCGAGCGUCAUUUCAACCAUCAAGCCCCGGGCUUGUGUUGGGGACCUGCGGCUGCCCGCAGGCCCUGAAAACCAGUGGCGGGCUCGCUAGUCACACCGAGCGUAGUAGCAUAACCUCGCUCCGGGCGUGCUGCGGGACCCUGCCGUUAAACGCAACAAACCCCCAAAGGUUGACCUCGGAUCAGGUAGGAAGACCCGCUGAACUUAA
rnacentral:misc_RNA from 1 species